rnacentral:sRNA from 1 species
UCCAGGCUCUCCCCCAUCUUAGUUAAACCUGCAGAGGGGAUGUUAAUUAGCAAAGACUGGCGCUCAGGGAGUUGGGGGAGCUUUUAGCCCUCUCCCUUCCAAGAAAGAUGACCUUUUGGACCCAAAAAGGAGAAUUGGGCUCCAGUUGCUCUCAUUUGAGGCACUCGGAGUGCUUCCCACGUAUCUCAUUUAUCCUCAUGACACCCCAGAGAGGGAUGAUCAUGGUGAUUUUACUGCUGCUCGUGGCUAUCGUGGUUGUUGCAGUCUGGCCGACCAACUGAUGGCAGUAAAGAGAUCACCAGCAGUGACACCUGCCAAUGACAGAUGCAAGCCCAGCACCCUUUUGGUACGCAAAACCUCCUCUCAAUAAAU